CCUACGGGUGGCAGCAGUGGGGAAUAUUGGACAAUGGGGGCAACCCUGAUCCAGCCAUGCCGCGUGUGUGAAGAAGGCCCUCGGGUUGUAAAGCACUUUCAGUGAGGAAGAACGCCUGGUGGUUAAUACCCAUCAGGAAAGACAUCACUCACAGAAGAAGCACCGGCUAACUCCGUGCCAGCAGCCGCGGUAAUACGGAGGGUGCGAGCGUUAAUCGGAAUUACUGGGCGUAAGCGCGCGUAGGUGGCUUGAUAAGCCGGUUGUGAAAGCCCCGGGCUCAACCUGGGAACGGCAUCCGGAACUGUCAAGCUAGAGUGCAGGAGAGGAAGGUAGAAUUCCCGGUGUAGCGGUGAAAUGCGUAGAGAUCGGGAGGAAUACCAGUGGCGAAGGCGGCCUUCUGGACUGACACUGACACUGAGGUGCGAAAGCGUGGGUAGCAAACAGGAUUAGAUACCCUGGUAGUC
rnacentral:rRNA from 1 species